rnacentral:rRNA from 1 species
UACGUAGGUGGCAAGCGUUGUUCGGAUUUACUGGGCGUAAAGGGCGGGUAGGCGGCCACCGCAAGUCAGUUGUGAAAUCUCUGGGCUUAACCCAGAAAGGUCAACUGAUACUGCGGGGCUAGAGUGCAGAAGGGGCAACUGGAAUUCUCGGUGUAGCGGUGAAAUGCGCAGAUAUCGGGAGGAACACCAGUAGCGAAGGCGGCACUCUGGGCCGGUACUGACGCUGAGGAGCGAAAGCGUGGGGAGCGAACAGG